UAAAAUUCUCUCGCUAAAAUGCCAGCGGAAUGCGUAUCGUAUUAUGUGUGUGUCGGGGCCCCCCCUUCAGUGUCCACUAUAUUGGAUCAGUCCAUCUUUACUGCGCAUGUGCAGAACGGAUCCAAGAAACGGCCAAAACUAAAACCUAACGGCGCGAAGUGGACAGUAAAAGGAGAGUAUCACAUGGAUGAAGCGAAGCGACCCCAGCGGUGCUGAAAGAGGAGGAAGAAGGAAGAAAACCAAACGUCAAAGUUGCAGAAAGUGACAAGUUUCUUCACUGCUCCUGCGGCAGCGGCCAGCAGCAGCAACCCACAACCUGCUCAACCGACUUGGACACCCGUUGAGGAGGCUCCAAUGAGACAGGGAUGGGCUGUAAGAGCGCUCCAGCAUCAUCCACUGUACUUCUAAAAUGAUCCACCAAAACAGCUGUCGGAUAGUGCACGCUGCUCAAUAGUGGAGAGAGGACCACUUCAGGUGAAGGACAGGAUCUUCCCGAGGAAUGAAGACGGGCACAGAAUUACCAGCAGCAACUACAUGCAGAUGAAAAAUGGAGAACAGAUAUGCAGAUCAUGGCUUGUUUACAGUGAAAAGAAGGACUGUGUUAUUUGUUUUGGCUGCCGCCUAUUUGGAAACAGAGAAAAAUGAUUUGCAAAAAUGAUCUGUUAUUUGUAUCGGACACCCGUGGUUGCUAAGCAAACACAGCUUAAACAGCUGAGUAAAUACGUCACUAAUAGCAGAAUGAAUCACUACACGUGUUAUAAAAUGUCACUGUUG